rnacentral:rRNA from 1 species
AACGAACGCUGGCGGCAUGCCUAACACAUGCAAGUCGAACGAGACCUUCGGGUCUAGUGGCGCACGGGUGCGUAACGCGUGGGAACCUGCCCUUAGGUUCGGAAUAACUCCCCGAAAGGGGUGCUAAUACCGGAUAAUGUCUUCGGACCAAAGAUUUAUCGCCUUUGGAUGGGCCCGCGUUGGAUUAGCUAGUUGGUAGGGUAAAAGCCUACCAAGGCGACGAUCCAUAGCUGGUCUGAGAGGAUGAUCAGCCACACUGGGACUGAGACACGGCCCAGACUCCUACGGGAGGGAGCAGUAGGGUAUAUUAGACAAUGGGCGAAAGCCUGAUCCAGCAAUGCCGCGUAAGUGAUGAAGGCCUUAGGAUUGUAAAUCUCUUUUACCCGGGAUGAUAAUGACAGUACCGGGAGAAUAAGCUCCGGCUAACUCCGUG